GAUGAAGAACGCAGCGAAAUGCGAUAAGUAAUGUGAAUUGCAGAAUUCAGUGAAUCAUCGAAUCUUUGAACGCACAUUGCGCCCGCCAGUAUUCUGGCGGGCAUGCCUGUUCGAGCGUCAUUUCAACCAUCAAGCCCCCGGCUUGUGUUGGGGACCUGCGGCUGCCGCAGGCCCUGAAAACCAGUGGCGGGCUCGCUGUCACACCGAGCGUAGUAGAUUUUCAUCUCGCUCAGGGCGUGCUGCGGGUUCCGGCCGUUAAACCACCUUCAUAACCCAAGGUUGACCUCGGAUCAGGUAGGAAGACCCGCUGAACUUAAGCAUAUCAAUAAGCGGAGGA
rnacentral:misc_RNA from 1 species